rnacentral:rRNA from 2 species
AUUAGAGUUUGAUCCUGGCUCAGGACGAACGCUGGCGGCGUGCCUAAUACAUGCAAGUCGAGCGGACUUGGAGGAAGCUUGCUUCCUCCUUGUUAGCGGCGGACGGGUGAGUAACACGUGGGCAACCUGCCUAUGAGACUGGGAUAACUCCGGGAAACCGGGGCUAAUACCGGAUAAUUCUUUUCUACACAUGUAGAAAAGCUGAAAGAUGGUUUCGGCUAUCACUCAUAGAUGGGCCCGCGGCGCAUUAGCUAGUUGGUGAGGUAACGGCUCACCAAGGCGACGAUGCGUAGCCGACCUGAGAGGGUGAUCGGCCACACUGGGACUGAGACACGGCCCAGACUCCUACGGGAGGCAGCAGUAGGGAAUCUUCCGCAAUGGACGAAAGCCUGACGGAGCAACGCCGCGUGAGUGAUGAAGGUUUUCGGAUCGUAAAACUCUGUUGUUAGGGAAGAACAAGUACCGGAGUAACUGCCGGUACCUUGACGGUACCUAACCAGAAAGCCACGGCUAACUACGUGCCAGCAGCCGCGGUAAUACGUAGGUGGCAAGCGUUGUCCGGAAUUAUUGGGCGUAAAGCGCGCGCAGGUGGUCUCUUAAGUCUGAUGUGAAAGCCCCCGGCUCAACCGGGGAGGGUCAUUGGAAACUGGGAGACUUGAGUGCAGGAGAGAAGAGUGGAAUUCCACGUGUAGCGGUGAAAUGCGUAGAGAUGUGGAGGAACACCAGUGGCGAAAGCGACUCUUUGGCCUGUAACUGACACUGAGGCGCGAAAGCGUGGGGAGCAACAGGAUUAGAUACCCUGGUAGUCCACGCCGUAACGAUGAGUGCUAAGUGUUAGAGGGUUUCCGCCCUUUAGUGCUGCAGCAAACGCAUUAGCACUCGCUGGGGAGUACGCGCAGCUGAACUCAAGGAUGACGGGGCCGCACAGCGUGAGCAUGUGUUUAUCGAGCACGCGAGACUACAGUCUGACAUCUUUUGCUCCUAGGAUAGCGUCCCUCGGGACAAAGUGGACAGUGGUGCAUGGUUGUCGUCACGCCUCUGUCCUGAGAGUUUGGUUAGUCGCACAGCGCUACUGACUUAUGUCGACAUUCAGUUUGACCAGCCUGA